AAUAUGCUUAGCCUUAAAACCAGAUGUUAAUAUAAACAUCCCCCGGGUACUACGAGCACAGCUUAAAACCCAAAGGACUUGGCGGUGCCUCAGAUCCACCUAGAGGAGCCUGUUCUAGAACCGAUAACCCCCGUUGAACCUUACCAUCCCUUGUUUCUCCCGCCUAUAUACCGCCGUCGUCAGCUUACCCUAUGAGGGAACAACAGUAAGCAAAAUGAACAAAAUCCAAAACGUCAAGUCGAGGUGUAGCGUAAGAGAUGGAAAGAAAUGGGCUACAUUUUCUAUUACAGAACACUACGGAUAGUGCCCUGAAACAAACACUUGAAGAGCGGAUUUAACAAUAAAAAGAAAGCAGAGUGUCCUUUUGAACUAGGCUCUGAGGCACGCACACACCGCCCGUCACCCUCAA
rnacentral:rRNA from 1 species